ensembl:misc_RNA Metazoa_SRP Metazoan signal recognition particle RNA
GCUGGGCUUGGUGGAACGUGCCUGUAAUCUCAGCUACUUGGGAGGCUGAGGCGGGAGGAUUGCUUGAGCCCAGGAGUCUGAGGUUGCAGUGAGCUCAAUUGUGCCACUGCACUCCAGCCUGGACAACAGAGCAAGACCCUAUCUCUA